GGUUAAGCGACUAAGCGUACACGGUGGAUGCCCUGGCAGUCAGAGGCGAUGAAGGGCGUGCUAAUCUGCGAUAAGCGCCGGUAAGGUGAUAUGAACCGUUAUAACCGGCGAUACCCGAAUGGGGAAACCCAGUGUGACUCGUCACACUAUCAUUAACUGAAUCCAUAGGUUAAUGAGGCGAACCGGGGGAACUGAAACAUCUAAGUACCCCGAGGAAAAGAAAUCAACCGAGAUUCCCCCAGUAGCGGCGAGCGAACGGGGAGGAGCCCAGAGCCUGAAUCAGCAUGUGUGUUAGUGGAAGCGUCUGGAAAGGCGCGCGAUACAGGGUGACAGCCCCGUACACAAAAGCGCAUGUGUUGUGAGCUCGAUGAGUAGGGCGGGACACGUGGUAUCCUGUCUGAAUAUGGGGGGACCAUCCUCCAAGGCUAAAUACUCCUGACUGACCGAUAGUGAACCAGUACCGUGAGGGAAAGGCGAAAAGAACCCCGGCGAGGGGAGUGAAAAAGAACCUGAAACCGUGUACGUACAAGCAGUGGGAGCACAGGUUUACCUGUGUGACUGCGUACCUUUUGUAUAAUGGGUCAGCGACUUAUAUUCUGUAGCAAGGUUAACCGAAUAGGGGAGCCGGAGGGAAACCGAGUCUUAAUUGGGCGUUAAGUUGCAGGGUAUAGACCCGAAACCCGGUGAUCUAGCCAUGGGCAGGUUGAAGGUUGGGUAACACUAACUGGAGGACCGAACCGACUAAUGUUGAAAAAUUAGCGGAUGACCUGUGGCUGGGGGUGAAAGGCCAAUCAAACCGGGAGAUAGCUGGUUCUCCCCGAAAGCUAUUUAGGUAGCGCCUCGUGAAUUCAUCUCCGGGGGUAGAGCACUGUUUCGGCUAGGGGGCCAUCCCGGCUUACCAACCCGAUGCAAACUGCGAAUACCGGAGAAUGUUAUCACGGGAGACACACGGCGGGUGCUAACGUCCGUCGUGAAGAGGGAAACAACCCAGACCGCCAGCUAAGGUCCCAAAGUCAUGGUUAAGUGGGAAACGAUGUGGGAAGGCCCAGACAGCCAGGAUGUUGGCUUAGAAGCAGCCAUCAUUUAAAGAAAGCGUAAUAGCUCACUGGUCGAGUCGGCCUGCGCGGAAGAUGUAACGGGGCUAAACCAUGCACCGAAGCUGCGGCAGCGAACGUAUCACCCAAGACAACUUUACGGAGUUGACGAUUGACGGAGCGAAGCGACGUCAAAGCGUUCAUUAAAGUCGAGUUGGCUUAGGGAUACGUUCGUUGGGUAGGGGAGCGUUCUGUAAGCCUGUGAAGGUGGCCUGUGAGGGGUGCUGGAGGUAUCAGAAGUGCGAAUGCUGACAUAAGUAACGAUAAAGCGGGUGAAAAGCCCGCUCGCCGGAAGACCAAGGGUUCCUGUCCAACGUUAAUCGGGGCAGGGUGAGUCGACCCCUAAGGCGAGGCCGAAAGGCGUAGUCGAUGGGAAACGGGUUAAUAUUCCCGUACUUGGUGUUACUGCGAAGGGGGGACGGAGAAGGCUAUGUUGGCCGGGCGACGGUUGUCCCGGUUUAAGCGUGUAGGUGUGUGUUCCAGGUAAAUCCGGUUCACUUUAACACUGAGGCGUGACGACGAGGCACUACGGUGCUGAAGCAACAAAUGCCCUGCUUCCAGGAAAAGCCUCUAAGCAUCAGGUAACAUCAAAUCGUACCCCAAACCGACACAGGUGGUCAGGUAGAGAAUACCAAGGCGCUUGAGAGAACUCGGGUGAAGGAACUAGGCAAAAUGGUGCCGUAACUUCGGGAGAAGGCACGCUGACACGUAGGUGAAGUGAUUUACUCAUGGAGCUGAAGUCAGUCGAAGAUACCAGCUGGCUGCAACUGUUUAUUAAAAACACAGCACUGUGCAAACACGAAAGUGGACGUAUACGGUGUGACGCCUGCCCGGUGCCGGAAGGUUAAUUGAUGGGGUCAGCGCAAGCGAAGCUCCUGAUCGAAGCCCCGGUAAACGGCGGCCGUAACUAUAACGGUCCUAAGGUAGCGAAAUUCCUUGUCGGGUAAGUUCCGACCUGCACGAAUGGCGUAAUGAUGGCCAGGCUGUCUCCACCCGAGACUCAGUGAAAUUGAACUCGCUGUGAAGAUGCAGUGUACCCGCGGCAAGACGGAAAGACCCCGUGAACCUUUACUAUAGCUUGACACUGAACAUUGAGCCUUGAUGUGUAGGAUAGGUGGGAGGCUUUGAAGUGUGGACGCCAGUCUGCAUGGAGCCGACCUUGAAAUACCACCCUUUAAUGUUUGAUGUUCUAACGUGGACCCGUGAUCCGGGUUGCGGACAGUGUCUGGUGGGUAGUUUGACUGGGGCGGUCUCCUCCUAAAGAGUAACGGAGGAGCACGAAGGUUGGCUAAUCCUGGUCGGACAUCAGGAGGUUAGUGCAAUGGCAUAAGCCAGCUUGACUGCGAGCGUGACGGCGCGAGCAGGUGCGAAAGCAGGUCAUAGUGAUCCGGUGGUUCUGAAUGGAAGGGCCAUCGCUCAACGGAUAAAAGGUACUCCGGGGAUAACAGGCUGAUACCGCCCAAGAGUUCAUAUCGACGGCGGUGUUUGGCACCUCGAUGUCGGCUCAUCACAUCCUGGGGCUGAAGUAGGUCCCAAGGGUAUGGCUGUUCGCCAUUUAAAGUGGUACGCGAGCUGGGUUUAGAACGUCGUGAGACAGUUCGGUCCCUAUCUGCCGUGGGCGCUGGAGAACUGAGGGGGGCUGCUCCUAGUACGAGAGGACCGGAGUGGACGCAUCACUGGUGUUCGGGUUGUCAUGCCAAUGGCACUGCCCGGUAGCUAAAUGCGGAAGAGAUAAGUGCUGAAAGCAUCUAAGCACGAAACUUGCCCCGAGAUGAGUUCUCCCUGAGACUUUAAGUCUCCUGAAGGAACGUUGAAGACGACGACGUUGAUAGGCCGGGUGUGUAAGCGCAGCGAUGCGUUGAGCUAACCGGUACUAAUGAACCGUGAGGCUUAACCUU
rnacentral:rRNA from 2 species